rnacentral:rRNA from 1 species
UGGGGAAUCUUGCGCAAUGCGCGAAAGCGUGACGCAGCAACGCCGCGUGAGGGAAGACGGCUUUCGGGUUGUAAACCUCUUUCAGUUGGGACGAAGCUUCCACGGUUAAUAGCCGUGCGGAGUGACGGUACCUUUAGAAGAAGCCCCGGCUAACUACGUGCCAGCAGCCGCGGUAAUACGUAGGGGGCAAGCGUUGUCCGGAAUUAUUGGGCGUAAAGAGCGUGUAGGCGGUUCAGUAAGUCCGCUGUGAAAGCCCAGGGCUCAACCCUGGAAUGCCGGUGGAUACUGCUGGACUAGAGUCCGGAAGAGGCGAGUGGAAUUCCUGGUGUAGCGGUGAAAUGCGCAGAUAUCAGGAGGAACACCAAUAGCGAAGGCAGCUCGCUGGGACGGUACUGACGCUGAGACGCGAAAGCGUGGGGAGCAAACAGG